CAGUCUUAUAAACCCUAAUUUCAUAGCCUAUAUACACACAUCCAACCUCCAUUCUCUCAAUAGAUCGCCGCUUCUAUCUUUUUUCCUUUUUAUGUUCUAGCUUUCCACUGCUUCUUUGUUUUUGUUUUGAUUCUUGAAAAUUAUUGAUUGAAAGAUCGCGGUGAUGACUCGGAAAUUCAAGCUCAACAGACCGGAAUGCAGGCAUCUCUCUUUCGAGAUUUGUUUGCGUGUCGAUAAUCCCGCUGAACUGAGCGAUCUUUCUUUUACAUUUAAAAUUUUCUAUUUUUUAAUUCUGUUUUGAAUUUCUUGAUUUGUUUUGGCAAAUGAAAGAUGUUACGAUGAGGAUUCAAAGCUCCCUCUUCUGAUUUCUUAGUUGAGGAAACUCUGCUGGCAGAAUCGAACCAAAUUAAACUUCAUGCCUUCUGACCCUUAAGAUCGCCUUCCAAUUAGCUAAAUGGAAGCGUUUUGAGUCAUAGCUACGCUAUAUCAAAUCUGAUGCGUACAUGUAUAUGUAUGUAUCAAUUUCAAGGUUUCUCUUUAGGGUUUUCCUUUCGAGAAUCUUUUAUCCUAGAAGAAUAAAAUUAAUUCGAAGCGAAUUCAUUGUUAUUUAAAUCUAUAACGUGCUUAAUUUUUUGAAACUCUUUUACGAUGAUUUAUUAUCGUUUUGGUGUUUCAGAUUCUUAAGGGGUUUGGAUUUUUGAUGAAAGCUUCGGUUUUUUCUUAUGGGAAACAUCAU